GAUGAAGAACGUAGUGAAAUGCGAUACUUGGUGUGAAUUGCAGAAUCCCGUGAACCAUCGAGUCUUUGAACGCAAGUUGCGCCUCAAGCCAUUAGGUUGAGGGCACGUCUGCCUGGGCGUCACAUAUCGUUGCCUGAUGCCAGUUUCCUCGUGAUGGGUGACUGUGCAGGGCGAAUGAUGGCUUCCCGUGAGCAUUGUUGCCUCAUGGUUGGUUGAAAAUUGAGUCCUUGGUAGGGAGCGACGUGAUAGAUGGUGGUUGAGUGACGAACGAGACCCAAUCAUGUGAGACCCCUACCGAAUUUGGCCUUCAUGACCCACAUGCGUCUUUGGAACGCUCAUGACGAGACCUCAGGUCAGGCGGGGCUACCCGCUGAGUUUAAGCAUAUCAAUAAGCGGAGGA
rnacentral:misc_RNA from 1 species